CCUGUACUCGUGCUCCUCCUGAUACCUUGAUCUGCAAUUUCAAGAAUAUAUUGAAGUACAUUCAUUAAGGAAAAUUGUGUGACGAAAAGAGAUCCAAUGGUCGCUGGUGUUUCGCCAUUCUAAAUAAUAAUGAGGUCAUAAUCUUAAUAGAGAUGUGCAAACUAUAUUCGAAUAUGAAUAGCAUUGAGUUGAAUCAAUUAUAUAAUACGAAGCAGACGAAAUUCUACAACGUAACAAUAUGAGAAAAAAAAAACUACGCUAUUACGUGGACUCGAAUUCCUUCAAGU